CUAUGCGCCUUGCCAGCCCGCUCAGGUGUGCCAGCAGCCGCGGUAAUACGUAGGUGGCGAGCGUUAUCCGGAAUGAUUGGGCGUAAAGGGUGCGCAGGCGGUCCUGCAAGUCUGGAGUGAAACGCAUGAGCUCAACUCAUGCAUGGCUUUGGAAACUGGAGGACUGGAGAGCAGGAGAGGGCGGUGGAACUCCAUGUGUAGCGGUGAAAUGCGUAGAUAUAUGGAAGAACACCAGUGGCGAAAGCGGCUCUCUGGUCUGUAACUGACGCUGAGGUUCGAAAGCGUGGGUAGCAAACAGG
rnacentral:rRNA from 1 species